GAUGAACGCUAGCGGCAGGCUUAACACAUGCAAGUCGAGGGGUAUGCCGAUUUAUCGGCAGAGACCGGCGCACGGGUGCGUAACGCGUAUGCAAUCUACCUUUCACAGAGGAUAGCCCAGAGAAAUUUGGAUUAAUACCUCAUAGUAUAGCAAUUUCGCAUGAAACCACUAUUAAAGUUCCAACGGUGAAAGAUGAGCAUGCGUCCCAUUAGCUAGAUGGUAAGGUAACGGCUUACCAUGGCUACGAUGGGUAGGGGUCCUGAGAGGGAGAUCCCCCACACUGGUACUGAGACACGGACCAGACUCCUACGGGAGGCAGCAGUGAGGUAUAUUGGACAAUGGGCGAAAGCCUGAUCCAGCAAUGCCGCGUGAGUGAUGAAGGCCUUAGGGUUNUAAAGCUCUUUACCCGNGAUGAUAAUGACAGUAU
rnacentral:rRNA from 1 species